rnacentral:rRNA from 1 species
GCUUAUGGCCAUACCACCGUGAGAACGCCCGAUCUCAUCUGAUCUCGGAAGCUUAACAGGGCAGGGCCCGGUUAGUACUUGGAUGGGAGACUGCCUGGGAAUACCGGGUGCUGUAGGCU